AGGACGAACGCUGGCGGCGUGCUUAACACAUGCAAGUCGAACGGUGAACCGGGCUUCGGCCCGGGGAUCAGUGGCGAACGGGUGCGUAACACGUGGGCAACCUGCCCCAGACUCUGGGAUAACUCCGGGAAACCGGGGCUAAUACCGGAUACUCCGCUCGGACGACAUCGUCUGAUCGGGAAAGCUCCGACGGUCUGGGAUGGGCCCGCGGCCUAUCAGCUUGUUGGCGAGGUAACGGCUCACCAAGGCGACGACGGGUAGCUGGUCUGAGAGGACGACCAGCCACACUGGAACUGAGAUACGGUCCAGACUCCUACGGGAGGCAGCAGUGGGGAAUCUUGCACAAUGGGCGCAAGCCUGAUGCAGCGACGCCGCGUGGGGGACGAAUGCCUUCGGGUUGUAAACCCCUUUCGGCAGGGAAGAAGCGCAAGUGACGGUACCUGCAGAAGAAGUCCCGGCUAACUACGUGCCAGCAGCCGCGGUAAGACGUAGGGGACGAGCGUUGUCCGGAUUCAUUGGGCGUAAAGCGCGCGUAGGCGGUUCGGUAAGUCGGAUGUGAAAACACGAGGCUCAACCUCGUGCGUGCAUCCGAUACUGCCCGACUAGAGGUAGGUAGGGGAGAUCGGAAUUCCUGGUGUAGCGGUGAAAUGCGCAGAUAUCAGGAGGAACACCGGUGGCGAAGGCGGAUCUCUGGGCCUUACCUGACGCUGAGGCGCGAAAGCUAGGGGAGCAAACAGGAUUAGAUACCCUGGUAGUCCUAGCCGUAAACGUUGGGUGCUAGGUGUGGGCGGAAAUCGACCCCGUCCGUGCCGAAGCUAACGCAUUAAGCACCCC
rnacentral:rRNA from 1 species